UUUUUCAGCUGCGGGUGGGUCUGGUAUCGAACAACUAUUCAUUUUGAAUCUUGCCCUGAAUCUGGCAAGAUGGUAACUAAACCAAUCACAACGCAGAGAUGUGUUUUGAAUUAACGCGGGCGGGGCAGAGGGUUCUGGGGCGGGGUUUUGAGGGAGUGACGACAUAGCAGUGAGACGCUGGGCAGUGGAGAAAGCACAACAAGAAAGAUGGCGGCAAUGGAACAGCGCUCGUUUGAUGCAUUGGCAUCAGUUUUGGAAGAAUUAGACUUGGGGUUUUCGUUAAAACGUGAGCAAGAGGAGGCUCUACGUUCAUUCAUCUUUAAGAAGGACGUUUUCGCCGUGUUACCGACAGGCUAUGGCAAAAGUCUUAUCUACCAGUUAACUCCACUGGUAGCCGAAAUGAUGGGGCUCUUUGAAAACCCGAUGGUAGUACCGGUAGUCGUCUCGCCCUUGUUAGCCCUAAUGGUAGACCAGGCGAAGGAGGCGAGCAAUUUUGGACUCACUGCCAUGCAACUGGGCGUCGAUAACCCAGCAAACAUCAAAAUAUGUCGUCAGUGCCAGUUGGUCUUCGGAGCAGUCAGGAGGCAUGGCUUUUGCUGAACGCGACGUGUUGUCUUCCAAGACAAGGUCCUCGGAGUGGACGAGGUUCACCUCAUAUAAUGGUAAGUGGCAUGCUCUUAACAACGUCAGGGUGUGUGUAAAGUAUAUUCCUAAAAGAUGACGGUAAUGAUUUGGUAAACGCUUCACCCUGUUGCCAUUGUAACAGAUGGACUGUCGCCCCGGACGUCUCCCUUUUUAAUCUCAGUUUACAGUCUUUAAUGUUGACUAUCUAAACAAAGUCUGUGGUCGUAAGAUUGAAGUUUACAUGGACGUUGUGCGAGAUGAGCGUGGGGCUGAUUGACUGGGGAAACGGCUGUGUACGGCGGCUAGAGGAGACACUGCGUCUUAAGUUAAAUUUAUUACACUUUGGAAAUUAGUACACUGCACUUCGACGAGACCAGCAUGGCGUCGCACUAAAAUAACAUCGAUGUUAUGGAGCUAAUAGUGCCAUACCGGUGGAGUGAUCUACACUAGAAUCACACUGAUACCGUGUAUUCAGACAGUUAAUACACCGAGUAAACCAACGAAAGUCAAUCGAGCCCCUCGGUGAUCUCUCACAACGCACUUGCUCAAUUAUGUUGAAUUAAUUGUUCCGGUGAUGUGGAAAUAACACUAAGAAGCUAGUUAGGACUUAAUUGCUUUGUGAUUGAAGAAUAACGUACUGAUUUUCCACAGGGGGAAACGUGAAGGCCUUUAGGUAUUGUUUUGGCAAGCUAGGAGAACACAUCUGACAGACAAAAAGGUUUCAUCAAAGACACACAGACAGCUCCUGAAGUAAAGGACCUACACAGGACCUUCAUAUCAAGGACAUUGACUGUGUGGAUCUCGAGGUGCAGUUACCCAAAAGUUGCUACCCACGGAAUACCAGGUUUUGAGGGAUCCUGCCAGAGCAGAGAAUCAACAGAUACAUUGAAGAGGAGACUCCGACAUGACCGCCGGCAUCUUGUGUUAUUCACCCCCACCACUUGUAAUACUGAAUGCCUGAAUUGUUGUUUGCUGCUCAGACUUUGUCACCAGAUAUGGUCUUCGACAUGUUACCCUUAGGUGUGGAAACAGAUUGUGACAGUCCAGCAAAAUGAGCCAGACAGAUAGUAACACUGAAAAAGGACAACGUUGUUCCCAUGGCCUCCCACUGCAGAAGACUACAGACGUUCAGUGAAGCACAAACAGCUGUUCCUCUUGUACUUAAUAAUUUAGUCAGCUGGAUUCUAGGUGCCACUAAGGAGCCAACAGUGGAUAAUUUUGUCAACAUUUCAAUGGCAUACAUUAAAAGGGCAGCCUGUAAUUGUUUGCCUUGCCUCCAUCUUCCUUGCCACCAAGGGGUUGUAGACUGAUGCCCUAGUCCUCCUGUUUAGGUACAACCAUGCAGUUAGGCCAGUCUAUUGAAGCAUAUACUUAAGCAUGACUGUUUGUAUGU